GUAAAGGGUUUAAUUGUGAGUAAACAAUACCACAUUAAGGAGCAGUAAACACAGCAGUGGGGACCCACCGACCCGCUCUGCCAUCACAGAUGCGGCGGCCUCCAUGUGACCGUUAAUAGUCCCCGCCGCCUGGAAGUUCUGACAGCGCCCUGAAGCCCAUUUGUCAUCUAAAUGGUCCGUCCCCUUCUUAAACAUCAUUUUGGCCCAAGGUCCAUUCAUGGGGCCUGCCGGGUGUUCCUGGGAAGAUGGGCAGAAAAUCCCAAGGCCACCAUUUAGUGCCAAUAAACAGAAGGCCUGGUUUCUUCAAAAGAAACACAAGAAAUUGUUUCCUGGUUUUGCCACAGAGAUUGGGUCACAGAGUGCCACCUAAAUGGAACCCAGGGCUGUUCUGUCAAGGUUCAGCUGCAGGACCAGAGCCCCUUCCACCUAACCCCCACUCCUAUCCUGAUGCUUCCUGAGGCACAUCUGCUGUGGUUUCUCACCAGAGAACAGUCUGCAAAAUCACUGCACCUUGUCCAACUCCAUUUUCCAACUGAGAAGACUUGGCCCAGAGAAGUGCACAGACUUGAGGGAAGUAACACAGCAAUCGGACAGACAGACAUCCCCAGAUAUACCUGCUACGGUCCUGGGAGAAAAUAGAGACCCAUCCCCAAAUACCAUCAUCCUCAUCAUUCUCUGUAGCCCAAUCAAAUGAUGCUCCAGGCCUGAGAUUUUAUCCAAUGAACACUCUGUACAUCUUUAAAAGAGAUAUGUACUUGUCUUAUUCCUCCUUUCCUUUCUUUAAAAAAAAACACAGGCCCCAGAUCCAGUCAUUCUAAAUAGGAAGGAAAAACAUAACCCACUGAGGCAAUGGAUGCUGUUUCUCUCCCUGCUCUGUGACUUUAGUUUGCCUUUAAAGCCCAUUUUCACCAUUUAUUGAUUUUAGUUUUCUACUUGUCUAUGAAUGACAACUUGAAUUAAGACAACGCAGGCUGAAAAGCCGCUAGGCAGUGCUAAAUGGACAAGCUACACUUCGUGGCAGGAUGUCUCAUGACCGUGCCACCUUCUGCCUAGCCCCAUUCUCUGGAGGAGCUGUGGGCAGACCGACCCCAGCCUGGCCGCCUGGCAUGGGGACUGGUUGCGUCAGAUCGGAGCUCUGAGAUAAGGGUGGGCCAGGGCAUGAUCAUCACCACUGCCAGCCUCGAAGCCUCUUUGCUGACCUGGAGGUGAUCUGUGUAUCAAAGGGGGCUGUGUAUUCAACAGCACUUCCAGAAGAGGCCAAAGAUCUGUCUCUACUUCAGCCUCCACUGGGCAGAAAACUAAGCCUAUUUGCUCUAGGCCCUUCAGACUUGCACUUGGAGAAAGAAAACUCACUAAGUCAGCCCUUAUGUAACUCCACUCUCCUCUCUUCCAAACCUCCUUGCUUUGGACAAAUAUUUGACAGAAAAUGCCCUUUUGCAACGCCUUAAAAGUUACAAAAAUGGUGCACCCUAUCCUUUAAUCUGUACUGUAAAUAAAAAAUAUUAACACAAA
rnacentral:lncRNA from 1 species